CAUGGUCACAUGUGUAACAUAUAACAGGGUUUGAAAACCAGCAGCUAAACUGUCAGCUCCUGUCAGCCAGGGGGGAAAAAAAAAAUCAACAUUUCUUCUUUAGUAUAAAACCACUGGAGAGUCAGUUAUACCUCGAAGUUGCUUUCAGCUUGAGAAUUCACUCAAGUAUAUGUAAGUGAAUGCAAAUGAUGCUGCCAGGAAGAAGACAGGCUCUUUUGGUCGCUAAGCAACAGGCCUAGAAGUGAUAAUUUAUAAUCUGCAGUGCUUUGUGACCCUUAGACACUUUUUUACUUCGUUUCUGAAUGAGUGUAAAACCCUCUGUUCUCCACACCAGUACCAUGGAAACUAUACAGUAUUGUUGCUGUGACCCCUGCAAAGAGGAGCAAAGGAAAUGGCC